rnacentral:rRNA from 1 species
UUUCAACAACGGAUCUCUUGGUUCCGGCAUCGAUGAAGAACGCAGCGAAAUGCGAUAAUUAAUGUGAAUUGCAGAAUUCAGUGAAUCAUCGAGUCUUUGAACGCACAUUGCGCCCCCUGGUAUUCCGGGGGGCAUGCCUGUCCGAGCGUCAUUACUG